GACGUAGGGCGCGAGCGUUUGUCCGGAUUUAUUGGGCGUAAAGAGCUCGUAGGCGGCUUGUCGCGUCGACUGUGAAAUCCCGCGGCUCAACCGCGGGUCUGCAGUCGAUACGGGCAGGCUAGAGUUCGGUAGGGGAGACUGGAAUUCCUGGUGUAGCGGUGAAAUGCGCAGAUAUCAGGAGGAACACCGAUGGCGAAGGCAGGUCUCUGGGCCGAUACUGACGCUGAGGAGCGAAAGCGUGGGGAGCAAACAGG
rnacentral:rRNA from 1 species